UAGUUGCACAGGCAAUGGCACACAUGCAAUCUCAGCAGUGCUUUCAUUUCAAGGUGCAUAUUGCAAAGAAAAUUGAAGGUACGAAUCUACACAAACAACCCAAGUGAAUUUUAUAGAGGAAGGAGAAGGGGAAGGGAAAGGAAGAAGCUACAUUUCAACAUAAGAAGGAUUUUAUGAGAUUUCAAACUGGUGAUAGGUUAUAGAAUUGCAUCCCAUAUGAUUGCAAAACGCUCAUAUACAAAUCUCAUAAUCUAGGGAUCUUCCUUAUUUUUUGCUUUACCCCUUGAAGCGAACUACAAUGCAGGAGAUGUCAUCCUUACUGUCUCUUUUCACUGCCUCUGCUGCUAGUUGCUUGGCUGCCUUUUCUGGGUCUUUUGUCUUUCUUGCUAUAUCAACUGCUUCUUGAUUAGACAUGACCUUCCAUAGACCAUCACUAGCAAGGAUGAGAAUCUCAGCAUCUGAGUCAAUAACAGUGUUCUGGAUGUCAGGGUCAGAUCGCAAGUGUGAUUUGAGGUUCUUAUCUCCAAAAGCUCGAGAAACUGCCAACUGGCCGUUCACUCUUGCAACGUCUCCUGGGAUGUUUGAGACAAAACCGCCUUUGUUCUCAAUGCUACCCCGCUCAGUGUUUGGCUCAUG
rnacentral:misc_RNA from 1 species